rnacentral:lncRNA from 1 species
AGAGAGAUGAGAUGAGAUUUACGACUUCCUGUUGUCAAGCUCUCUUUUUGGCAAUACCCCUCACGUCAACUGAUGAUGGACAGACAGACAGACAGACAGACAGACAGACAGAUGGCGACGGAACCCACAAAUACUCUCUCUCUCUCUCUCACCAAGUUGACCACGCCAGGCGACGGCCACAGGGCCUUAUUGCCGUACAACUUCCUCAGCGGCCCGCCGUCAGCAUACUCCUGAAUGAUGUACAGCCGCCACUCCUGCACGUGAUGUCGUACAACACCCGUACGGCACCAGUACGGUGAAAAAAACGACUUAUCAACAGCAAUACCACUACCACCGGCAAAACAGCAGAUAUAGUCCUACCGCCCACUUAUCGAACCAUCCUAACCCCCACAACCACCUCAACCAACACCAUCAGGCCACAGUAGUCUUAGUAGUAGUAGGUACUCGUCAUCUAGGCUCAAUAGAUAGUUUAUGUUUUUGUAGGUUAUUGCCUGACUAAUGGAUGUUAUCAGCUGCUGCUUUGUGAUUGGGGAUAAUGUUUUGGGUUGGGUUUUUGGUAUAUGUGUAAAGUAUAAUAUAUGGCUGCAAUACAGGUGUAGGUACAGUCCAGAUUUCGGUAUGGACAUGGAUCGUUCAUACCAUGUUGAACACUGCCCAUCCCAUCAGCAUGUGGCCUUUGCCGUCACGCAUACAUACGUACAUACACACAUACAAACGCUCAUACGUACAACACUCCCGACGUCGCUUUAGGACUUUGGCAGUUGAUUCUUAAUUUGCGCGUUGAAUUGCGGUCCCUUCUUCGUCCCGUCCCCUGCCGUCCUCUUUUCUAUGUAAUAUUGAAACGAAUAAAAAUCGGACACCGGGUCUAUAGAGUUUCGUUCGUAAGACCGUACGCGUUUGAGUUAAUAUAACGUCCUACUUUCUAAUUUUAUUUUUUGUCUUCUGUCCCCUUCGUGAGGAUACUCUCCCUCUUUUUUUCCCCUGCGCUCGGUAACUUGGCUUUGCUGGGGCCGCUGUUGGACGCACCAUCACCACCCGCCCCACCGCCACCACCAUCUUCAGGGGCAAGUCGGGCCGCCAUCAGACGGUGAGUGGGUGGUUGGAAACGUUAGGCAGCCCAGUGUUUUUUUUGGUAAUAUAUUACUUUUUUGGGAAUAAAGGGGGGUCUGAGCCUGGAAGAAAUGGAAUCGUUGGUCAGUUGGCCGUACCGGUUCAUUACUUCGGCCAUAAGUCGCCCCAAAUGCCUGCCGAC